GCUUCCGGGAGAGCGCGGGACAGAGAACCCGCCGCCGAAGAGGCAAGGGCCUGCGGUGAGUCGCCGCAGGGCCGAAACUUUCAGGCAAAAGGACCGGAUG
rnacentral:ncRNA from 1 species